AUACGGAGGGGGCUAACGUUGUUCGGAAUUACUGGGCGUAAAGCGCACGUAGGCGGAUUAAAAAGUUAGAGGUGAAAUCCCAGGGCUUAACCCUGGAACUGCCUUUAAAACUAGUAGUCUAGAGUUCGAGAGAGGUGAGUGGAAUUCCAAGUGUAGAGGUGAAAUUCGUAGAUAUUUGGAGGAACACCAGUGGCGAAGGCGGCUCACUGGCUCGAUACUGACGCUGAGGUGCGAAAGCGUGGGGAGCAAACAGGAUUAGAAACCCCAGUAGUCC
rnacentral:rRNA from 1 species